CGCUAGCGACAGGCCUAACACAUGCAGUCGAGGCGUGUAGACAUGUUCUAGCUUGCUAGAAGAUGGCGACCGGCGCACGGGUGAGUAACGCGUAUGCAACCUACCUUACUUCUGGGGGAUAGCCCAGAGAAAUCUGGAUUAAUACCGCAUAAUAUAUUUGAAUCGCAUGGUUUAAAUAUUAAAACUCCGGUGAUGUAAGAUGGGCAUGCGUAGCAUUAGUUAGUUGGUGAGGUAACGGCUCACCAAGACAAUGAUGCUUAGGGGGUCUGAGAGGAUAGUCCCCCACACUGGUACUGAAACACGGACCAGACUCCUACGGGAGGCAGCAGUGAGGAAUAUUGGUCAAUGGGCGCAAGCCUGAACCAGCCAUGUCGCGUGAAGGAUGACGGCCCUAUGCGUUGUAAACUGCUUUUUUACAGGAAUAAUUGUCGCUACGUGUAGUGAUUUGAAUGUACUGUAUGAAUAAGGAUCGGCUAACUCCGUGCCAGCAGCCGCGGUAAUACGGAGGAUUCGAGCGUUAUCCGGAUUUAUUGGGUUUAAGGGUCCGUAGGCGGUUCUUUAAGUCAGUGGUGAAAUCUCAGAGCUCAACUCUGGAACUGCCAUUGAAACUGAAGAACUUGAAUAUGGUUGAGGUAGGCGGAAUACGUUAUGUAGCGGGUGAAAUGCAUAGAUAUAACGUAAGAACACCAAUUGCGAAGGCAGCUUACUARGCAUAUGACGCUGAUGACGAAGCGUGGAGCGACAGAUAGAUACCUGUAGUCACGCGUAACGAUGAUACUCGUGUGCACAUACAUCGUGCGUGACUGAGCGAAGCAUAGUAUCACUGAGAGUACGUCGCAAGAAUGAACUCAAGGAAUGACGGGGCCCGCACAAGCGGGAGGAACAUGUGUUAAUUCGAUGAUACGCGAGGAACCUUACCUGGACUUAAAUGUAGAUUGACCCACUUAGAAAUAGGUGUUCUCUUCGGAGCAAUAUACAAGGUGCUGCAUGGUUGUCGUCAGCUCGUGCCGUGAGGUGUCGGGUUAAGUCCCAUAACGAGCGCAACCCCUAUCGUUAGUUGCUAGCAGGUAAUGCUGAGGACUCUAGCGAGACUGCCACCGUAAGGUGAGAGGAAGGUGGGGAUGACGUCAAAUCAGCACGGCCCUUACGUCCAGGGCUACACACGUGUUACAAUGGCCGAUACAAAGGGCAGCUACCUGGUGACAGGAUGCUAAUCUCUAAAGUCGGUCUCAGUUCGGAUCGGAGUCUGCAACUCGACUCCGUGAAGUUGGAUUCGCUAGUAAUCGUAUAUCAGCAAUGAUACGGUGAAUACGUUCCCGGGCCUUGUACACACCGCCCGUCAAGCCAUGGAAGCCGAGGGUGCCUGAAGUACGUUACCGCAAGGAGCGUCCUAGGGUAAAAUUGGUAACUGGGGCUAAGUCGUAACAAGGUAACC
rnacentral:rRNA from 1 species